UACGUAGGGUCCGAGCGUUGUCCGGAAUUAUUGGGCGUAAAGAGCUCGUAGGCGGUUUGUCGCGUCUGCUGUGAAAUCCCGAGGCUCAACCUCGGGCCUGCAGUGGGUACGGGCAGACUUGAGUGGUGUAGGGGAGACUGGAAUUCCUGGUGUAGCGGUGGAAUGCGCAGAUAUCAGGAGGAACACCGAUGGCGAAGGCAGGUCUCUGGGCACUUACUGACGCUGAGGAGCGAAAGCGUGGGGAGCGAACAGGAUUAGAUACCCGCGUAGUCC
rnacentral:rRNA from 1 species